ACAUCUUCGCAUGGCUUUUGUGGUGUCUGGCAGAGACAUCACAUUUCUAAAAGAUGUGACUAACAAAGUCCCUGAGGAGAUGCCCACCACUAGUGCGCAUCUAAGUGCACAGCCUAGCACCAGUGCAGCAGGAAGCUCAGCUGUAGAGUCCUUUCAGAAAUAUAGGGAAAUAAAAAAGAGGGAGAGACCUUUUUUACAAAGGGACGGCAUAACUCCAAAAAUAAACAGAAAUUGGUGAAGAUUUCUGUUGGAGUAAUGAGGAGGAUGGAUGGCUGCCUUAAAC